CCUACGGGAGGCAGCAGUGGGGAAUAUUGGACAAUGGGCGAAAGCCUGAUCCAGCAAUGCCGCGUGAGUGAUGAAGGCCUUAGGGUUGUAAAGCUCUUUUACCAGGGAUGCAGUACCUGGAGAAUAAGCUCCGGCUAACUCCGUGCCAGCAGCCGCGGUAAUACGGAGGGAGCUAGCGUUGUUCGGAAUUACUGGGCGUAAAGCGCACGUAGGCGGCUAUUCAAGUCAGAGGUGAAAGCCCGGAGCUCAACUUCGGAACUGCCUUUGAAACUAAGUAGCUAGAAUUCUGGAGAGGCGGGUGGAAUUCCGAGUGUAGAGGUGAAAUUCGUAGAUAUUCGGAAGAACACCAGUGGCGAAGGCGGCCCGCUGGCAAUAUUGACGCUGAGGUGCGAAAGCGUGGGGAGCAAACAGGAUUAGAUACCCUAGUAGUC
rnacentral:rRNA from 1 species